rnacentral:rRNA from 1 species
AUUGAACGCUGGCGGCAGGCCUAACACAUGCAAGUCGAGCGGAGCGGCGGACGGGUGAGUAAUGCCUAGGAAUCGGCAGGGGCGUGGGGGAUAACGUUCGGAAACGGGAGCUAAUACUGCAUACUAAUAGAUGAGCCUAGGUCGGACUAGCUAGUUGGUGGUGUAAGGUCCAACCAAGGCGACGAGCCGUAACUGGUCCGAGAGGAUGAUCAGUCACACUGGAACUGAGACACGGUCCAUACUCCUACGGAAGGCAGCAGUGGUGAAUAUUGGACAAUGGGCGAAAGCCUUAUCCAGCCAUGCCGGGUGUGUGAAGAAGGGCUUCGGUUUGUAAAGCACUUUCAGUUGGGAGGCGUUACCAUCAUAAUAAGCACCGGCUAACUUCGUGCCAGCAGCCGCGGUAAUUC